GUCUAUGGUCAUGCCACCCUGAAUAUUCCUGAUCUUGUCUGAUCUUAGAAACUAAGCAGGGUCGGGCCUGGUUAGUACUUGGAUGGGAGACCACCUUGGAAUACUAGGUGCUGUAGGCG
rnacentral:rRNA from 1 species